AAUUUAUCCAUUCCCAAUGCAUGCAAUCAAUACUCCCGACCAUUCCAGGAAACCCUCGCAUUUCACUAACAUGGAGAAUUCUUUGUAGGUCCUCUUGAGUUGGAGCUCUGAGAUACUCUUGCUCAUAAAGUUGGAUGAUUUCUUUACAGAAUCGACGCAAGCACUCUAAUGUUGUAGUACCUCCUAUUUUGAUAUAUUCAUCGACUGCAUCGGCAGCAACACCAUACGCUAGCAUUCGCAUGGCGGUUGUACAUUUUUCCAAAGGAGAUAUACCUUCUUUAUUGGUUGCGUCAACUCGUUGGGUGAAGUAGUUGUCACUGCUUGAUAGGUCUCCAACUAUCCGAAGACAAACAUGUUUUCGCAUCCGGAAUCAUCGACGAAAUAUUGCAUCAUCAUAUGUUGGUUGAUUUGGAAAGUAAUCAUCAAUAAGCCUUUGAUUUUCCGCUACAUGAUCUCUUUUGAAGUAUUUUCUCUUGCUACGAGGCGCUUGAUCUUCAACAAUUUUUUGUCGACGCUCUCUAAACCGAUUAACGAUAUACUUCUCUUCAAUUUCAGACUGUUUUUUGUAAGCUUCAAUAUCAAAAGAAAAUUUGAAGGAUCCAUUGGUUUUUUGGUAAGCUAAGAUUUGUGUUGUUGAAAAAUCAUUAGAAAAAUGAGUCUCCACUUAUAAAAAAAUAAGUGGCUGUAAUUUUUGGACGUGAAACAAAUAUCAAAUUGACAUAAAUAACAGAUAAGAUUGGAUUCUCCAACAAUAACUGAAAGUCAUAGAUUGCAUACAAACAAAAUUCGUAAAGUAUACAUAGACAUACACAUUAUUAAAGUAGAAUGAAACAAAAACACAUUAUUAAUGUAGAAAAAAACAAACACACAUUAUUAAAGGAAAAAAACAAACACACAUAACUAAAACAUAAAAAUACACACAUAAACUUGAAAUCAACUAAUUUCCAAAUAGAUCAUGGCUUAACUUCUCCAACAGUGUUUGUUCUUGUCAUCGAGAUGCUCUUUUUCACUUAGCUUCGUGAACAUCUUCAUCUUUUUAGCUUGAGUCUUUUCUUUCAUCAAUUGGUUUGCUUCUUCUUGUCUCUUGGAUAUUGUGUCCAAUCGUUACAAUUCUUGUUAUUUGAAUUGUUUGAAUUCAUUCUACUCUUCGUUGACUAUUUCCAAAGUUACGCCCUUGUUUUUUUUUUUACCUUUUUUUUGAUGUGUCCCUCCCAAUUGGACAAAUGUUUGAUCCUACAGAGUUUGAUCCAAUAGAGUUAGAGUCACUUGUAUCAUUCUCGUGGGAUCUCUUAGAUCAACUACUUGAGCCGAUGUUUCCUCCUACGUGACUACCAUAACGUGGUUGAUCACGCAGAGCAUUUCAUUCUGACAUUAAAUUGAAAUAUUCAUUCUUACUACCUGAAUAUAUUUCCUGCGCUUUUACCAAGACAUCAUUCUCCGACCACCCACUUUGUUGCUUACGCUUAGCAUUAUCGUACACGCCAACCCAUUUGCUCAACUUUUUGUUCAUAUAGUUGUAAUGGUUUCUGCACGAAGCUCCAUUUAUACUACUCAGCAAUUUUCCCCCAAAAUGCUUCACUUAUUUUGUUCCUGCCAACAACACUGUCAGUUCCAUAUUUAAUUCAACCACUAAUUAGAACCAAUUUUUGACUAGUGCUCCAUUUUGGGCUUUUCCGGCGAGCAUGAGUUGAAUCCUCUUCAUUUUUCUUUUGUGCGCCUUCAUUGAUACCACUUGUAUCACCAAGACCUAUUUGUGUAGAAAAUUCUGGACAAUCCGUUGUUCUAAUAUUUAGAACAAAUUCAUUACCCAUUGAAGUUGAAGAAAUAUGAUGUCUUGGAGGUAAAUAUGACAUCAUCGAUCCAUAAUAUGAAGGAUAAUUUGGAAUAGAUGAUGGCAUAAAGAAAUUUGGUGCAAAACCAAAAUUUGGUAUAUUUUGGGGUGUGUUUGAAGACUGGUUUUGAAACUGAUAAUUACCGAGAUUUGGAUAGUUAAAAGGAAAAUUACUCGAAUUUUGAGUGUUAAAGAGAUCAUUAUUGUGAUCCAUUUAACUAAAAAAGGAAGUUUAAACACAAAAAAAGAAAUUUGCUUGGAGACUAAUAUAAAAUUUAUCUGAAAUUGGCAUUUUUUUUUCUGUAUCUAAAUGAAACAAACCUAGACUCUAUUUGUAGACCAUAAAAAAUUAUGAAUUUUGAUAUAAAUUUUAAUUAAAAAAAAAUUCUUAUUACAAAAUAAUUGAGUUUCAAUGAUUUGGAGAGAAAAAAAUCUCCAAAACUUAGAAUAGCCAAUAGGAUGAGAGUAGUUCUUUUUACAAGAUAAGGUUUUCGACAUGUGAUCACUCUCUUCCUUUUUCUUCCUCUUAAAUUUUGACUGUGUAUUUGUAGGUCCCAUAAUCAAUGUAUUCAACUAGUUGAACUGAUUCAACUCCAGUUAAUCCAUGUCUGAUUUUUUUGAAAAUUCAACAACUCCAUUGUGGAGUUCAAAGCGUUGAAUUUAUUAUUUAUCUAUCCUAUUGCUCCUAGUCUUAAAACAUUCCCACCGUUGGAUUUCUUUUAAAAUUUAAAUUUUGUGGCCACGAUUUAAUCUCACUUUCCCAUAAACCAACUUUCUUUAAUAUCUUAACCAAACCAAACAAAAGUUAUUUAAACAAACUAGAAAAAAAUAAUUACCCAGACCAAAUACUUGUGCUUGUUUCUCCAACAAAAGGUAAAAGAAAGGUUCUUUUCGUCCACACAGUGGCAUCCGUACACAAAAAGUACGUCAAAUGUAGAUUGUGUCUUUAGAGGUUAACAAAAGACAUGAAGUGUCUUUGUGUGUAACUCACUCAGCAGUUUCAGUCAUUCCCUCUUGAAAUGUCCAACCUUCCAACAUCGGUAUGAAAACUUUGAGCCAUCACUUUUCAUCUCCUCUUGUACUUGAGCCAUUCGCAGAUAGUUCUGGAUCACAUGAUCUGUAGUACUGCAUAUAUCACAUGCUCAUGUUGCUUUCCAAUACUUUACAAUAUGCAUCUUUCGGCAACUCGUGCAUUCACCGCACUUCCAUGAGGACUUGUUUCUAUUAUCAACAAUUCAACAUGAUCCCAUUUUCUUUUCUGAUCGCCUGUCUUGCAAGCCUCACUCAGCUGUGACUAAGUCCAUGCUCGGUUUUCUGCCGUAAUAUUAUUCAUCAGCAUCGCCGCCUCUUCCACAAACUUCAAAAUGGUUUUGAGUUACAAAGUAAGGAAUGAGUAUGAAUUUCCACCCUUAAACCACAUAGAAACAACAAAUUUGUAUUGCCCUUUACUCAAGUUAUUCUACUACAUAGUGUUUGAGUUGGUUGAAUUCUUCAUCGUAUUCCCAAACCCAGCUUUGUCCUUAGAACAUAUUUUUUUUUCUCUAAAGCCCACCCCAAGCCUCAGAUACGAAAUAUUUCUGGUCGAAGCUGGUCCCAAUAUCCAAAAAGGUUUGAGCGUUUGAACACAAUCUCUUGUGCGCUUAUCAAAUCGUAAUCCACCAAUUAUAUGCUUAUCCUUCCAGUAUUAAUAAUAAAUCUCAUACAGACUAUUAGAUGUGAAGAUGGUGAAUCGAAAGAGAUGAAAUCUUGUGAAGAUAAUGAACAAAAUCGUUUUAUUCAGCUCAAGUUUCUAACUGUACAUGUGUAACUAUAUAUAUAGCUGGUUAAGCAAAAGGAAACUUAAACCAACUUAAACUAGAAUAAGAUAACCGAUUAUAACUCUAAUACCCCCCCCCUCCCCUUCAAGAUGGAACGAACAGAUGAUGAAGACCCAUCUUGAGUGUCAACUGAUGAAAAAGAGCAGGCUGAACAGCUUUCGUGAAAAUAUCAGCGAGUUGAUGAGCUGACUUCACGUGCAUAGUCUUCAGAAAACCACUAUGUAUUCGUUCACGAACCACAUGGAAAUCGAUCUCGAUGUGUUUGGUGCGUUCGUGAUAGACAUGAUUCGACACGAUGUGUAGAGCUGACUGAUUAUCACAGUAGAGCGUUGCAGGACCAGUCAGAGGACAAUGGAGAUCACAGAGUAAGGCAGCUAAGCAAAUGAGCUCACACGUAGUAUCUGCCAUGGACCCGUACUCUGCCUAUGAGCUACUGCAAGAAACCAUUUGUUGUUUCUUAGCACGCCAUGAGAUAAGUGAAUCUCCCAAGAAGACACAGAAGCCAGUCAUAGAGCGGCGAGUAUCUGGACAAGAAGCCCAAUCGGCAUUACAAAAGGCAGCCAGACUCACCGAAGACGAGGCUGAGUAGAAUAGCCCUUGAGCAGGAUCAUUCUUGAGAUAUCGAACUCUUUGAGCUGCUUUAAGAUGAUCACUGCAAGGAGCAGACAUAAACUGGCUAAGUUUAUGAACUGCAUAUGCAAUGUCAGGACGCGUGUGAGUCAAGUUAAGCCUCUUUCCAACGAUCUUCCUAUAGAUUGAAGGAUCAGACAGAAGAUCAUCCGAGGAAUCAGAGAGUUUGGAAUUUGGUUCCAUAGGAAAUGAGACAGGUUUGCAGCCACGGUAGCCAGCAUCUUGAAGCAAUUCCAGCGUAUACUUCCGUUGAUUAAUGGAGAUCCCAUCAGCAUUUCUCGCAAUCUCAAAACCAAGGAAAUAUUUUGCAUCACCAAGAUCGCGUAGUUUAAAAGCUUGUUUUAGAGAAUCUUUGAAGUUCUAAAUAGCAACAUCAUCAUCACCCACGAUGAGUAUAUCAUCAACAUACACCAGAGCAGCAACAAACAAAGAUGCCGAGUGUUGAACAAAUAGAGAAUGAUCAGAUGAUGUCUGAACAAAACCCGCAGAGGAAAUGACUGUGGAUAGCUUGUGAUUCCAUUGGUGAGAGCCUGUUUAAGUCCAUAAAGAGACUUAUGUAGACGACAAACUGAAUUAGGAGGUAAACUGCGGCCAGUCAGCUCCGUAUAUCCUUGAGGAAUAGUCAUAUAGAUCUCCUCAUCCAAGUCGCCAUUAAGAAAUGCAUUACUGAUGUCGAGCUGUUUAAUUGACCAAUUCUUAGCAGCUGCAAGACUCAGUAACAGCCGUAGAGUACCCAGCUUAGCUACUGGAGAGAAUGUAUCCAGAUAGUCCAAGCCUUCAAGUUGGGUGUAGCCCUUUGCAACCAAGUGUGACUUAGGACGCUCCACAGUGCCAUCAGGAUUGAACUUGUACGUGUUCACCCAUUUACAACCAACGGGGUGCUUCCCUGGAGGCAAUUGACAGAUAGACCAAGUACCAGUAUCUUCUAGAGAAUUCAUUUCAAAUUUCAUAGCUCCCUUAAACUCAUCCAGUAAAAUGGCUUCAUGAAAGGUCUUAGGGGCAGUAACAGUGGUGAUGGAAAGAAGGAAAUUGUGAUGAGAAUCAUCAAAUUUGUCAUAGGAUAGAAACGCAAAGAUAGGGUAAGAUGUAGUAUGAGUCUCAUGGGUAGGAAAUGUAGGAGUUCUAUUUAAAAGAUAGCAAUGAUACUGAUCUAGAGAAGCAGGAGCCUUAGUUUGCCUUCUAUUGCGUGUGUUAGGAACAUCAGUGUUAGUAGAUUGUGUUGAAGAGUUAGGAUGAUGGCAAGGAGAAAUAAAAGUAAGAUCAAGAGAUUCUUCAGGAAGGGAAGAUGAAUUAUCACCAAGAUCAAAGAAAGCCAGAAAGGGAGAGUCAGGAACAUGUAAUGGUAAAACAUGUUGACCAAAGAUACAUUAUCAUGUGAAGGAAGACUCUCACAGAAAGGGAAACUAGACUCAUGAAAAACUAUGUUGCCUGAAAUGAGAAUUUGGUUAGUGUGAAGAUCAAGCACUUUGUAGCCUUUAUAUCCGUGAGGAUAGCCAUGAAAUACACAAGGAGUGGCACGUGGUGAGAACUUAUGAAGAUCUUUUAAUAAUGUGGAAGUGAAACAGAGACAGCCGAAAACUCUGAGAUGACUAUAAGAUGGAGGUUUAGACAUGAGAAGUUCAAAAGGAGAUUUGUUUUUCAAAAGAGGAGUGGGAGUUCUGUUGAUCAAAUAAACUGCUGUUUGAAUGCAAUCCCCCCAAUAGUCAAGAGGAAUGUUAGAUUGAAAGAGUAGUGAGCGAGCCACAUUAAGGAUAUGCUGAUGUUUUCUUUCCACAAUAGAGUUCUGUUGUGGAGUGGAAGCACAUGAAAAGUAAUGUUGUAUGCCUUUGUUUUUAAGAAGAGAUGUAAAAGAAUGUUCGGGAGCGUUAUCAGUUUGAAUUGUUUUGACAGAAGUUUUGAAUUGUGUUUCAACAAAGGUUAAAAAUUCCGGAAAAACCGUGAUGACAGAACUCUUAUCUUUCAAAAGAUAAACCCAUGUGACUUUUGUGCAAUCAUCAACUAUAGUCAAAAAGUAUUUAUACCCAUCAACUGUUGGUACACGAAAUAGACCCCAAAUGUCUAAGUGUAAAAGAUCAAAUGCAGAGACAGACAUGUUAUUAGAAGAAGAAAAAAACAAGCGUUUUUGUUUAGCUAAAGGACACACUUUACACAAAUGAUCGUGACCUAUGUUUUCCUAGAAAGAUCUAAACAUUUAGAAAGAAUUUGAAUUUUAUUUGGAGAGGAAUGUUCCAAACGUUGAUGCCAAAUUUCAGAAGAUACGUGAGCUAGGUGAUGAGUUUGAGCUAUAGUUGACAAAGCUGGAGGAGGAGAAUCCAAGAUAUAGAGAUUUUGACAAAGAUUACCCUUCUCAAUCAUGUAAUCCGGAGUAUGCUCCUGAAGAAAAUGAAGUGGAUUGUAUGACAAAAUCUGACAUGAGUUUGAAGAAAACAGAACGGAAAUGGUUGUGUUCCAAGUUAAAGAACUAAUGCUCAAAAGGUUAAAUUUAAAAGUCGGAACAAACAACACAUAAUGCAGAGUUAGUGUUUCAGAAAUAACAAUUGUGCCAGAGAGAAUGACUUCAAUUCGUGUUCCAUCAGGUAAAGUAACAGUUGUGUUAGUAAUUGGGUGCGUGGCAGAAAACAUGUUCAAGUUAGAACACACAUGGCAACUAGCUCCUGUAUCUAUGAUCCAAGUAUUUUGCGAAAAAUGUAAGGUUGUUUAUGAUUCCUGCAGAAGAAAUAAAGUUGGAAGAAUUCAAAAAUGUACCUGAAGUAGAAGGAUGAGAUGAUGUGAUAGGAAUCAAAUGAGGUUGAGGUUUCAACGUGGAGAUAGAGCCAUCUGCGAGUUUAAGAGUACUGCCUGAAAUCUGAGUGUGAUUGUUCUCAAUGCUCUGUGUUUUAGCCUUGAGGACACUUAGAAGGUGCUGAAUUUGAUCUGAUAUAGCCGUCCCCAAGUGAGUACCCUGCUGAUCAUGCAUGGUGAUGCUGCCAAAAUCCUUAGUGAUCAUGUUCACUACAUUGGUGCCCUUGCUGGAAGAAUGUGAGUGCCCGCAGCCUGUUGUUGAGAGGACUGUUGACCCUUGUAACCAGACGUGUUGGUCCUAUAACCUUGGGGAUAGCCAUGUAGUUUGUAACAACGAUCAACGGUAUGACCAGAAAGACCACUGUGAGAGCAUAUAGGACGAGACUUUUGCUUGUUGUAGCCUCUACCAUAAGCAGCGAUGAUAGGUUCUGGAGAAGUGAUGGACUGAGAUGCCUGAAACGUCAAAUUGCUUGUGGACUUCAUAGAGUGUUGCCUCUCCUCCUGAGAAACCAUGUUGAAAACCUUGGAAAGCAAUUGGUUUGGGUCCAUCAUCAAGAUCUGCCCUCGUGUAGCAGUAAACGAUUCAUUGAGUCCCAUAAGGAACUUGAGAACCCGGUCUUGCUCUUCCGUCUUCGCUAGUUGUUUGUGACUCGCACAAUUCAUCUGGCCACAACAACAUGUAUAUGGUUCGUCAUGGUUCUUGAGCUCUUCCGAGAGUUGCUUGAGUCUUGUAUAGUACUCACUCACAGUCUGAGAGCCUUGUGUUUCAGCAUAGAUCUGCUGCUUGAUCUCAGCUGUUCUUGGACCAUCACUCUGCUUGAACUGAUCGUGAAUAUCUUGCCACAUCUGCCGAGCCGUUUCGAGAUACAUAAUGCUCUUAGCAAUCGGCUUAUCCACAACAUUCACAAUCCAAGUGCAUACAAUAUUUUUGCAUCUUGACCAAGAUCCAAAAUCAGUAUGAGUAUCAUCAAGAUCUGGAUAAACACCCGUAACAAACACAUCCUUGUUUCGAGCACCUAACGCCAACAACAUCGAUCUACGCCAGCUAUUGAAAUUCCCAAGGCCAGUAAGCUUUUCUGAGACAAGAGAGAUACCAGCAUGAUCCGCAUUGUGAAUGAACAACGGAUUGGAGUUUGGAUCGGAGAGAGACGGCGUCGAAGGAGGUGGAAUUGGGGAAGAAUCGCGCGUAGGCAUCGUAGAAUCAAGAAACAGAAUCGGAGAACUUCAAAUCGCAACUAGAAGAGAGUGAAUCGUCUGCUAUCAAGAUCGUCGCAAUCAAUGGCGGCUGAAGAGAAGCAGAAGCGGAAAAAGAAAGACGAAAACGGUGACGAGGAGCGAAGAAAGAAACUCGAGGAUCGCAAAGAACGAGGAAUCGAAGUAAACACUCAUGAUCGGAGCUGAGGAACGAUGAACGGAAGCGGAAACGAGAAAUCAAAAGGUCUCUGAUACCAUAUUAGAUGUGAAGAUGGUGAAUCGAGAGAGAUGAAAUCUUGUGAAGAUGAUGAACAAAAUCGUAUUAUUCAUCUCAAGUUUCUAACUGUACAUAUGUAACUAUAUAUAUAGCUGGUUAAGCAAAAGGAAACUUAAACCAACUUAAACCAGAAUAAGAUAACCGGUUAUACUCAGGACCUUCAUAAAUUUUGAACCAGUACAUGAGAUUUUCACUCCAGCGAUUAUUCGUCCUCAGUCACUUUUGUAUGAUGAAUCUAUCCUUGUAUAAUCUGAAGCAUCACCAAAUCUCUUUGUUAUUUACAGUUGCAACAUAGCUCCAUGAAUUGUCGAUUAUUCUCUUGCAAAAAUAUUUUUUCAAUUUGAGAACAUCCGUCAAAACAUGUACUCGCGAAAGUAUUACGUGAAGUACUACAACGACUGAAAUAGAGGUUAACUGGAGACUAAGCAACCAGAAAUUUAUCAUAGAAAAGAGAAUUUUUCUUAUGAAAUAUUUAAGAAAAAACAACUUUGUAAAAGAUUUGGAAAUAUUCACAAGGAUGAUUUGGAAUAUUUAUUUCUUGGAAGUUGGCUUGAGUUAGCCACAAAAUUUACUAAGUCUAAAUAAGUUGUGGAGCUUUUAUAUUGAGUUAGCACAUAAAAAGUAUUAUUAUCAAAAAGGUUUCAAAACUUGUAUAGUGAGUAAAACACAAAUGGUUAAAAGAUAAAGAGUUUUUUGGAUCAUAUUUUAUAUCAUAGUGCGUUUUCUAUUUAAGCGAAGCUUGCAAGUUCGUUUGAAAAAAAAUAGUAAAUACAUAGCUUUUUAGUAGAGAAAUACUGUGUUCAUUUAUCAUACUCGUACCACUCUCUCUAUAUCAGAUUCAUUUUGCAUUUUCAAUAGUUACCAAACGUAAGCAAUACAGAAUUCUUCAAUGAACAAAUAUUCUUAUAGGUCAAAAAAGUAUUCCUCAGGUGAAAAUAAACUCGCUUCUCCGUAGAUGAAACCGUAAGCCAGCGUCAACUUGUAUAACUCCGUGAGCUCAUCCAUAGCAAAUCAAUUCUCCAUCCAGUCGGAUAUAUACUGGUAAAGAAAAGUAUCUCUACAACUCCAUAACGAUUGCUUUCGAAAUCCCCAAUGGAGUAGUGUCCUUACUAAACGACAAGAACACAAACACAGUUUAUAAAAUUAUCUUGAACCCAAUAUCGAAAAGAUAAACUCAAAUUGAAGAAUACACUUCCUUUUACAAGAACUCAAAUCUCAAGUCAGAUCGGGUAUAAUUCUAAAACAGAUGAUAACUGCUCAUACUCUCAAUUCGGCUUUCCUCCAGAAUUAUUAACGGACAAUAUUUGAAGCUAACACAAACUGAGUGAAAAGCCGUGUCUUAGAUAAGAGUACUGACUACUAGAGUCUCAACAAAUCCCAUUCAGGUUUUGUACUAGCACAAGCUCGAUUUAAAUAAUAAAAAAAAACAAACAGAAAGAUCAAUUCUUCUUAUCACAAGAAGCUCCUCUGUUUAGUAACCGCCUCCAUCACCACCUCCUCCAUAGCCACCACCACCUCCACCGUAGCCACCACCACCUCCACCGUAGCCGCCACCACCACCCCCAUAAGCCCGGGGAGCACUUGGUCUAUCGUUAGCAACAUUCACUCGGAUGUUGCGUCCAUUCAGUUCCUGGAAAU